GAGUGAGCGGCUGCGCGGCUGCUGGGAGGGUGAAUGAAGCCAGGAGGAGGGGAAGGAGGAGGCGGCGGCGGCGGAGGAGGCGCUGCGGGGAUUGGGAUGCGCCCUGGAGCCCCGCUGCUCGUUCACUCUGGGCCGGGCCGGAGACUCCGCCACUCCCGCGGCCGCCGCCGCCGCCGCCUCCUACGUGGUUCCAGCGCUGCGAGCAGGCCGGUCCCGCAGGGGGCAGGGAAGGGGCCGGCCGGGCGGAGCGAGAGAAGCACCGUGCAGCAAGUCGCGAGGCUGGUCCGCGCACGCCGGGGAUUGGUUUGCCAUCCUUGUGAGACGGUCUCCUGCUCCACGGCCACUCCAGGGAGGUGCGCCCCAUAUCAGGUGUUGUGCAGAGUUACUGCUGUUUGAUCUCCACUGGGCUUUGUUAGAAGUGUAUUAGAAAGUCAGAAGGCACAAAUGAUUGGUCCCUUUGGAGGUAGGUCAUUUAUCACUACCUGAGUAAAUUGAAAACAUUUUUUUAAAUGUUUAUUUAGUUUUGGGGGGGGAGGGACAGAGAGAGAGGGAGACAGAAUCUGAAGCAGGCUCCAGUCUCUGAGGUGUCAGCGCAGAGCCCAAUGCACGGCUUGAACCCGUGAACCAUGAGAUCGUGACCUGAGCCGAAGUCAGACACUAACGGAUUGAGCCACCCAGGUGCCCCCAAAACGUUUGGGGAUUAAGCCCAGUGAGAGUUGUGCAUCGAUUAUGAGAGAUUUGGAGAGUUGGGGGCAACUAUAGGGGGGAGAAAACAGAAAAUAGGAAUUUAAAAAAAAAAUUGGGCUUAGCUCUUCAGAGACCACAAAAGACAUUUAAAAAGACUUAGCACAAACAAACAAACAGAAAAGAGUGGAAAAAUGCUGUUAAAUAGCCGUAUUCUAAAUAGCAUCCUAGGAGCAGAUCUGGAGAGAAUGGAAGGCAGGGACAGGUCUUAGGGAAGUCCAGGGGGAGAUUAUCACAGUUUGGUAACAUCCUUGUACUUGGAAUUAUUUUGCUCUUAAUAUGUGAUAACAUGUUAACAAUUCAUGGAGAAAUGUUCCCAGUUUGGAAUCCACAGCAGAAUCACCUCAUAGGUACGCUGGCGGUGAGAUCCAGUUGAAAGAAAAUGUGUGGCAGGUGGGUGCAUCCUUCUCCCGGCCCCCUCCCGGCCCCCUGGGGGGCUCCACUUUACCAUGGAGCAGGUAGGGGUGCUCUAUGGGUGCCCCGCACAGCACAGUGUCUUAGGAGUCAGCAAGUUCAGAAUUUCCUUAAAACUCUUACUAAGACAGAGGCAUCCUAUCCACACAGCAAAGGUGUUUAAGAGAGUUUAAGAGCUGAGAAAGGGUUGCACUAAAAAUGUCCUUAGUCUCCCCCUCUCUUAGAUUUUAGGGUCAAAACUACCUUUCCCUUGAAAAUGAGAAGGGGAGAAACCCCAUUUAACA
rnacentral:lncRNA from 1 species